AUCUAGUUGGGGUCAUUUUAUGUGGAAGAAUAAUAUCUGAAAAAUCAUGAGAAUAGGAUUUAAAAAAUAUAUAUUUAUUGGUUUCUUUAUUUGACUGCACCGUGUCUUAGCUACAGCAUGUGGGACCUAGUGCCCUGACCAGGGAUUGAACCUGGGUCCCCUGCACUGGGAGUGCCGAGUCCUCACCACUGAACCACCUGGGAAGUCCUGAGAAUAGGAUUUUAACAUUAGUAAGAGCCCAAAGAGGAGAUCUUAAUUGAAAUCAGGAUGCAUGGAGAAUCCUGGUACAGAGGCAGUGUUUUAGGGUGGGGAAGCCGGGCUAAAAUCUGUCCAAGAGUGCCUAUUGGACCAAGGCCUUUUUGAAGAAGGCGACGAGAGUCCCUGACUUAGAGGAAACUGGGAGAAGGCCUUUUGAUGGCUCUAUUGUUAGGAAAGCUGCCCUAAAAUACCACACCCCUCCCCUUCUCCACAAGGGCCUGAGGGCCAAAUGACCGGGAAAGUGGGUCUGUUGGGUUGAACUCCAGGGAGUGGCAGAGUCAGAACUGACCUCCUUCACCCGCGUCUGCUAACCCCUUGGGGCAGCGAUGCCAUCUCCGUCGCCAGCAAAAACACACAAAGGAGGCCCCCACCCAGGCUCGAACCUGGGGGCACACUGGAGGCACACUGGAGAGAGGGCCGGCGUGGACCCCCGGUCGGAGAGCCUCCUACCCCCACGGGGAACAAUAGCUGCCGCCUCCCCGGGGCGGUGGGGGCGGUCGCGCCGCACAAAGGCCGGCUCGGCCAGCACCAUGUGACGCGCGCUCGACCCGCUCUCCCGGCGGCGCGGCGGACGGGAGGGUGUUCCGACCCACCUGGAACACUUUCCGAAAGACAAACGCGGUUCCGCCUACUUCGGAGCAAGUCCGGGCCAGCUGGGAUCCGACCAGAAACCGCAAGCGGAGGAGACGCGGAUACGCAGGCUGAGCGGUAACGGAGGGCGCGACCUGCCGCCCCAGGCCCGAGGGUAGCGCCGCCCCGUCCUCCCCGCGCCUGGGACCGCAGCAGCCGCGCCCGCGGGCCACGCAGGGCGCCCGGGUCCCCCAGCGUCCCGGCCCCACCUCCACGCCCCCCUCCGCGCACUUCCCGCUUGCCCCAGUGACACCCUUCACCGCGGCUGUCCCCCCAGAAAGGGACAAACCCGACUCUGAGGACAGGACGAGAAGAAACCUCAAUAGGUGGGAAGGUUCUUGCAAACACUUUAAGAGUUUAAUAAAGGAUGUCCCGAGGGAUCAGAAUUCAGGGGAGACGCUGAACGAGUUCUCUCAUUGAUCUUCAGGACUAUUUCCUGUUUGUAUGGGAGGUUAAGAACCCCUGUUGAACUUGGAACUAAACUUGAAUGCCAUUUAAAAUAACCAUUAAAAUACACUUAAAACACUAACCAUAAUGAUAUGCCUCUUCUCUCUUUUAUGAUACGAGGGAAGGCUUGGAGUAGUUUUACUUCAGCUCUUGGGGGUUCAUUUUAGAAAAUGUAGUCCAUAAAGGAGCAGACCACAGCUGGGGGGAGGGGCAGGCUUCAGUCAGAGCUGUUCACAGCGGGGAGGCCUGGGUGAGUGGGUGGGGAAGCACUCUUACACCCCCUCUUGAGUGGCAUCUGCUGUCCUCUUUGUCAUAAAUUCUAAGAGAGUUCUGGGCUACCCUCUCUUUUUAACUUUUGUUCUCAGUGAUAUGAGAAGUUUCUCAAUGUGUCUCAGCCCACAGUAAAGAGCCCCUGAAGGACAGAAAAUCCCAGCUUUCUCCCUCUCCCCUCAGUUCUCUUCUCUCUCACCAUCCUCUUGGGUGGAAAUAGCUUGUUCUGGAGAAAUGUUCUGCUAUCAUUUUCCUCAGAUGGAUAUAAGCUGAAGCAUUAGGGCCUCCACAGUGUCCUGAACUCCUCCAGCAGUUAAAAUCCUGAACCUCUUGUUCUCGGUUCAGAGUCUUCUCUCUCCAGCAGUGCCCACUGAACAGUUCCUACGUGCGCUGUGCUGGGCUCUGGGAUAUAAAAAUUGAGUCACUAAUGGCGUAUGCCCUUCAGUCUACUGGGGUAGAAAAAGAAUUAAUCCUAAGAUUAGUAUGACAUGCUAUAACAGAGGUGUGGCCAAAAUGCUCCUGGAAUAAAGGAGUCACUAACAGUAUCGUAGUGUCAAAAAAGGCUUCUCAGAAGAAGUGAAUCUGGGUUCCUGAAGUAUAGGAAUUUUUUAGGCCCAAGAAGGAGGGAUCUACCAGGUGGAGACAGCAGCACAUACUAAAGCAGGGAGGGAAGAAAGAGCAAGGUAUGGACCUAGAACAAGGAGAGGAGCUCAGAGUGAGGCAUCUGGCUGGACAGAGGCUGUAAAGGCCACGGAAGGGCAUCUGGACUUAACAUGUAGGCAAGGGAGAGCCACUAAAGGUCUUAAGCUGGGACAUGUGGUUAUUUGCUAUCUAUAUUUGGAAAGCUGACUCUAGGGGGUACUGUGUCUGAUGGCAGAAAGGAGAGAUAGGAAGUGGGAAGAACAAAGAAGGAGGCUUGCUGCCAUAAUCCAGCCUAGAGAGGGAGUAACUUAAUAAGGAUGAAGAGGAGAGGCAUUUAGGAGGAAGAAUUCAGAGGACUUGGUGAUCAACUGGAUUAGUGAAAGAGGAGUUGUGGAUGCUAAUCCCUAGGUUUUGAUUUUGACAGCCUAAGCAGGUAGUCAGUUAUCCACCAAAAUGAACAGUGAAGUGGGAAGAGAAGACUGCAGGGGAAAUGAAUGAGUUCAGGUUUAGGUCUCUGUUCAUUGGUUUCUGCUUUGCUAACUGAUGCACUGUGUGACCCUAAGAUAUUCACCUAAUCUUUCUGGCCUUCACUUUCAUCAUCAAUGAAACAGUCAAUAAAGAUAUCUACAGGUUUAUCAUUAGUAAAGCAGUGUGCAUGUGUGCACUCCCAAGCUUAGGAAUUAUCUUUAUCAGGUCUACAAAAAGCUAAAAUCUAGGGAAAACAUCCUCUUACCACCACCCCCCUCAUGCUGAUCAAUACUUAGAUCCUGGGUGGCCAGUGAGAAAUAAGUCUCAGGGAAAUUAAAAACAACAUCCUACUGCUUCCCAGAUACUGAAUUCAAGCUAAUGCUUAGGACUGGGUCAGAUCAGAUUGCUAAUCAGAGUCCCUCAGCUUCCAGAGGAAGCUCUCCAGGGGAACAUGCAGAAAUGUGGUCUUGGUAUCAGACCACUAAAGAGGCGGCCUCUAAGAGAUGUCUGAAAGCUUCUGUGCUUUUUUACGCCAUGUGUCUUUCAGGGAAUGCUUGAAGUCACCCAUUCUCUUUAAAUCUUAGGCUUCCUUGUGUUACAGUGUUGUAUAGGAAAGUGCUGAACAUCUGACCCCAGCCAUUUAUAUUGAAUGUGACUUCAGUAAGUUGUUUCUUUUUUCUGUGUCAGUAUUAGCAUUUGUAAAACAGAAUUAUAAUAGGAUCAAAUAAGAUAAAGAAGAAUGACAUUUUUGGAGGUGCUAUAAGGGUAAGUAAAAGGUAUUAUCUUUCACUUAUCAGAUUGCCAAAAAUAAAAAAAUCUUUAAUAUCCCACUGACUUGUCAAAGACAUGAAACAGGAAUUCUCAUAUGUUGCUAUAGAAGUAUAAAUUGAUUCACUUCUAAAGAGAGCAAUUUAGCAAUAUAUAUAAACAUUGCCAGUGCACAUAUAUUAGACUAAGUAAUUUCAUGUCUAGGAAUUCUUUCUAUUAGGCAAAAAGUUGAAAAUAAAUGCCCACUAAUAAAGGACUGGCUAAAUAAAUUGUGGUAGAUGUAUAUAGUAGAACAGCAUAAAGGUGUAAAAAUAAAGUAGAAAGAAAGGAUCUUCAAGCUAUAACUGGGGGGAGCAUGGUGCAGAAGAGUCUUGUAAUGUGUUAUCGUUUAUGUAAAAAUGUGGGGAGAUAUAUCUCUAGAUAUUUAUCUAUCUAUAAAUGUGAAGUAGAAAGUAUUUCUGGAAAGAUAUACUCAUAAAAUUGGUGAAGAAACUCAAAAUUGGUGUUCAUGUGAAGAACUAGGUGGCUGGGGACAGAGGUGGGAGAAAGAAAGGGUACCCUUUUGUACCCUUUGAAUCUUGAAUCAUAUAAAUUUAAACUAAAUAGCUACAAUAAAGAUAAAGGAGCAAAAAAAAUUAGCAUAAUUUUUUUUUUUGGCAGUACCACUUGGCAUGUGGG
ensembl:lncRNA